GCCCGCGUUGUCUAAUGGUUAUGACGUCAGACUUCUAUGCGCAAAGCUGAUCUGGAGGUUGCGGGUUCGAAUCCCGCCGUGGGUU
rfam:Pleurotus ostreatus PC15 unplaced genomic scaffold scaffold_04, whole genome shotgun sequence.